rnacentral:rRNA from 1 species
AGAGUUUGAUCCUGGCUCAGGAUGAACGCUAGCGGCAGGCCUAACACAUGCAAGUCGAACGGUAACAGAGAAGAGCUUGCUCUUUUGCUGACGAGUGGCGCACGGGUGCGUAACGCGUAUACAAUCUACCUUUUACAGGGGGAUAGUCUUUAGAAAUGAAGAAUAAUAUCCCAUAGUAUCUAAAUUUCGCAUGUUAUUUAGAUUAAAGUUUCGGCGGUAAAAGAUGAGUAUGCGUCCUAUUAGCUAGAUGGUGUGGUAACGGCACACCAUGGCGACGAUAGGUAGGGGCCCUGAGAGGGGGAUCCCCCACACUGGUACUGAGACACGGACCAGACUCCUACGGGAGGCAGCAGUGAGGAAUAUUGGACAAUGGGCGCAAGCCUGAUCCAGCCAUGCCGCGUGCAGGAAGACUGCCCUAUGGGUUGUAAACUGCUUUUAUAUAGGAAGAAACCUUUCCACGUGUGGAAAGCUGACGGUACUAUAAGAAUAAGGAUCGGCUAACUCCGUGCCAGCAGCCGCGGUAAUACGGAGGAUCCAAGCGUUAUCCGGAAUCAUUGGGUUUAAAGGGUCCGUAGGUGGAUAAUUAAGUCAGGGGUGAAAGUCUGCAGCUCAACUGUAGAAUUGCCUUUGAUACUGGUUAUCUUGAAUUAUUGUGAAGUGGUUAGAAUAUGUAGUGUAGCGGUGAAAUGCAUAGAUAUUACAUAGAAUACCAAUUGCGAAGGCAGAUCACUAACAAUAUAUUGACACUGAUGGACGAAAGCGUGGGGAGCGAACAGGAUUAGAUACCCUGGUAGUCCACGCCGUAAACGAUGGUCACUAGCUGUUCGAACUUCGGUUUGAGUGGCUAAGCGAAAGUGAUAAGUGACCCACCUGGGGAGUACGUUCGCAAGAAUGAAACUCAAAGGAAUUGACGGGGGCCCGCACAAGCGGUGGAGCAUGUGGUUUAAUUCGAUGAUACGCGAGGAACCUUACCAGGGCUUAAAUGUAGAUUGCAUUAGCUAGAGAUAGCUAUUUCUUCGGACUAUCUACAAGGUGCUGCAUGGUUGUCGUCAGCUCGUGCCGUGAGGUGUCAGGUUAAGUCCUAUAACGAGCGCAACCCCUGUUGUUAGUUGCCAGCAUGUAAAGAUGGGAACUCUAACAAGACUGCCAGUGCAAACUGUGAGGAAGGUGGGGAUGACGUCAAAUCAUCACGGCCCUUACGUCCUGGGCUACACACGUGCUACAAUGGUAGGGACAGAGAGCAGCCACUUCGCGAGAAGGU